rnacentral:lncRNA from 1 species
UUGUCAUGUAAGAAAAAUCUAACCCUUACAAAAACUCAUUUCAAAAUGAGUAACUGCAACAUUUUUUCAGUCAUUGUGUGAGAAGGCUGUUGCAGGACUGCUGGGACUUCCCUUCUCCCCAGAAUGAGAUUCUGGUGUAAUUAAUGGGGCAUUUGGACUCUGAUAGAAUUUGCUUCCAUCCAGUUUCUCAUGGAAACCCUCCUGAUGCCUCUCAGAUCUUCAUGAAGAGCUCAGGGUUUGUUUAAGGUGUUCACAUGUCAGCAGCUCGUGGAUGCUACAGGAGACCAGGAAUGGCCGGAAUCUCUAUGCUGGCAGGAUUCAGAGAGGCACAAAGGAGGGAAAAACAAGUUUCAGCCAGAAGAGAGAGAGAGAGAGAGAAAAAAAAGGAUGCUGUUAGCAUUCCCUGUAUUUGAGGGGUAAAAACAUUUUGCUGUCAACUCUGUUUUAAAGGGUAAGUGCUAAAAGCAG